rnacentral:rRNA from 1 species
UGGGGAAUAUUGCACAAUGGAGGAAACUCUGAUGCAGCGACGCCGCGUGAGUGAAGAAGGUCUUCGGAUCGUAAAACUCUGUCCUUGGUGACGAAAAAAAUGACGGUAGCCAAGGAGGAAGCCCCGGCUAACUACGUGCCAGCAGCCGCGGUAAUACGUAGGGGGCGAGCGUUGUCCGGAUUUACUGGGCGUAAAGGGUGAGUAGGCGGUAAUAUGUGUCAGAUGUAAAAGGCUAUGGCUUAACCAUAGUUGGCAUUUGAAACUGUAUUACUUGAGUGCAGGAGAGGUAAGUGGAAUUCCUAGUGUAGCGGUGAAAUGCGUAGAUAUUAGGAGGAACACCAGUGGCGAAGGCGACUUACUGAACUGUAACUGACGCUGAGUCACGAAAGCGUGGGUAGCAAACA